rnacentral:misc_RNA from 1 species
GAUGAAGAACGCAGUGAAAUGCGAUAAGUAAUGUGAAUUGCAGAAUUCAGUGAAUCAUCGAAUCUUUGAACGCACAUUGCGCCCGCCAGUAUUCUGGCGGGCAUGCCUGUUCGAGCGUCAUUUCAACCAUCAAGCCCCCGGCUUGUGUUGGGGACCCUGCGGCUGCCCGCAGGCCCUGAAAACCAGUGGCGGGCUCGCUGUCACUCCGAGCGUAGUAGCAUAUAUCUCGCUCAGGGCGUGCUGCGGGUUCCGGCCGUUAAAAGCCUUUUUUUUACCCAAGGUUGACCUCGGAUCAGGUAGGAAGACCCGCUGAACUUAAGCAUAUCAAUAAGCGGAGGA